rnacentral:rRNA from 1 species
GAUGAACGCUGGCGGCGUGCCUAAUACAUGCCAGUCGAGCGAAGAGACGAGGAGCUUGCUCCUCGGACGUUAGCGGCAGGGGUGUGAGUAACACGGGGAUAACCUACCUAUAAGACUGGGAUAACUUCGGGAAACCGGAGCUAAUACCGUAUAAUAUAUUGAACCGCAUGGUUCAAUAGUAAAAGACGGUUUUGCUGUCACUUAUAGAUGGAUCGUCGCCGCAUUAGCUAGUUGGUAAGGUAACGGCUUACCAAGGCAACGAUGCGUAGCCGACCUGAGAGGGUGAUAGGCAAACUUGGAAUUGAGACACGGUCAAGAAUCCUACGGGAGGCAGAAGAAGGGAAUCUUCCGCAUUGGGCGAAAGCCUGACGGAGCAACGCGGCGUGAGUGAUGAAGGUUUUCGGAUCUUAAAACUCUGUUAUUAGGGAAGAAGAAAUGUGUAAGUAAAUAUGCACGCCUUGACGGUACCUAAUCAGAAAGCCACGGCUAACUACGUG